rnacentral:rRNA from 1 species
CUUGACAUCCCGAUGCUAUUUCUAGAGAUAGAAAGUUACUUCGGUACAUCGGUGACAGGUGGUGCAUGGUUGUCGUCAGCUCGUGUCGUGAGAUGUUGGGUUAAGUCCCGCAACGAGCGCAACCCCUAUUGUUAGUUGCCAUCAUUCAGUUGGGCACUCUAGCGAGACUGCCGGUAAUAAACCGGAGGAAGGUGGGGAUGACGUCAAAUCAUCAUGCCCCUUAUGACCUGGGCUACACACGUGCUACAAUGGUUGGUACAACGAGUUGCGAGUCGGUGACGGCGAGCUAAUCUCUUAAAGCCAAUCUCAGUUCGGAUUGUAGGCUGCAACUCGCCUACAUGAAGUCGGAAUCGCUAGUAAUCGCGGAUCAGCACGCCGCGGUGAAUACGUUCCCGGGCCUU